AUACGGAGGAUGCAAGCGUUAUCCGGAUUUAUUGGGUUUAAAGGGUGCGUAGGCUGACGUGUAAGUCAGAGGUGAAAUCUCCGGGCUCAACCUGGGAACUGCCUUUGAUACUGCAUGUCUGGAGUUCGGAUGCCGUGGGAGGAAUGGGCAGUGUAGCGGUGAAAUGCAUAGAUAUUGCCCAGAACACCGAUUGCGAAGGCAACUCACGAAGCCGACACGGACGCUGAGGCACGAAAGCGUGGGGAUAGAACAGGAUUAGAUACCCUGGUAUUCCACGCCGUAAACGAUGAUGACUAACCGUCGGCGAUAGACAGCCGGUGGCCAAGCGAAAGCGAUAAGUCAUCCACCUGGGGAGUACGUCGGCAACGAUGAAACUCAAAUGAAUUGACGGGG
rnacentral:rRNA from 1 species